rnacentral:rRNA from 1 species
UACAGAGGGGGGCGAGCGUUAUUCGGAAUUAUUGGGCGUAAAGGGCGCGUAGGCGGCCUUUCAAGUGACGGGUGAAAUCCCUCGGCUUAACCGAGGAACUGCCUGUCAGACUGGAAGGCUUGAGACCGGGAGAGGUGAGUGGAAUUCCCAGUGUAGCGGUGAAAUGCGUAGAUAUUGGGAGGAACACCAGUGGCGAAGGCGGCUCACUGGCCCGGUACUGACGCUGAGGUGCGAAAGCGUGGGGAGCGAACAGG